rnacentral:rRNA from 1 species
AAAUUGAAGAGUUUGAUCAUGGCUCAGAUUGAACGCUGGCGGCAGGCCUAACACAUGCAAGUCGAACGGUAGCAGGAAGAAGCUUGCUUCUUCGCUGACGAGUGGCGGACGGGUGAGUAAUGUCUGGGAAACUGCCUGAUGGAGGGGGAUAACUACUGGAAACGGUAGCUAAUACCGCAUAACGUCGCAAGACCAAAGAGGGGGACCUUCGGGCCUCUUGCCAUCGGAUGUGCCCAGAUGGGAUUAGCUUGUUGGUGGGGUAACGGCUCACCAAGGCGACGAUCCCUAGCUGGUCUGAGAGGAUGACCAGCCACACUGGAACUGAGACACGGUCCAGACUCCUACGGGAGGCAGCAGUGGGGAAUAUUGCACAAUGGGCGCAAGCCUGAUGCAGCCAUGCCGCGUGUAUGAAGAAGGCCUUCGGGUUGUAAAGUACUUUCAGCGGGGAGGAAGGGAGUAAAGUUAAUACCUUUGCUCAUUGACGUUACCCGCAGAAGAAGCACCGGCUAACUCCGUGCCAGCAGCCGCGGUAAUACGGAGGGUGCAAGCGUUAAUCGGAAUUACUGGGCGUAAAGCGCACGCAGGCGGUUUGUUAAGUCAGAUGUGAAAUCCCCGGGCUCAACCUGGGAACUGCAUCUGAUACUGGCAAGCUUGAGUCUCGUAGAGGGGGGUAGAAUUCCAGGUGUAGCGGUGAAAUGCGUAGAGAUCUGGAGGAAUACCGGUGGCGAAGGCGGCCCCCUGGACGAAGACUGACGCUCAGGUGCGAAAGCGUGGGGAGCAAACAGGAUUAGAUACCCUGGUAGUCCACGCCGUAAACGAUGUCGACUUGGAGGUUGUGCCCUUGAGGCGUGGCUUCCGGAGCUAACGCGUUAAGUCGACCGCCUGGGGAGUACGGCCGCAAGGUUAAAACUCAAAUGAAUUGACGGGGGCCCGCACAAGCGGUGGAGCAUGUGGUUUAAUUCGAUGCAACGCGAAGAACCUUACCUGGUCUUGACAUCCACAGAACUUUCCAGAGAUGGAUUGGUGCCUUCGGGAACUGUGAGACAGGUGCUGCAUGGCUGUCGUCAGCUCGUGUUGUGAAAUGUUGGGUUAAGUCCCGCAACGAGCGCAACCCUUAUCCUUUGUUGCCAGCGGUCCGGCCGGGAACUCAAAGGAGACUGCCAGUGAUAAACUGGAGGAAGGUGGGGAUGACGUCAAGUCAUCAUGGCCCUUACGACCAGGGCUACACACGUGCUACAAUGGCGCAUACAAAGAGAAGCGACCUCGCGAGAGCAAGCGGACCUCAUAAAGUGCGUCGUAGUCCGGAUUGGAGUCUGCAACUCGACUCCAUGAAGUCGGAAUCGCUAGUAAUCGUGGAUCAGAAUGCCACGGUGAAUACGUUCCCGGGCCUUGUACACACCGCCCGUCACACCAUGGGAGUGGGUUGCAAAAGAAGUAGGUAGCUUAACCUUCGGGAGGGCGCUUACCACUUUGUGAUUCAUGACUGGGGUGAAGUCGUAACAAGGUAACCGUAGGGGAACCUGCGGUUGGAUCACCUCCUUA